GAUGAACGCUGGCGGCGUGCCUAAUACAUGCAAGUCGAGCGAACGGACGAGAAGCUUGCUUCUCUGAUGUUAGCGGCGGACGGGUGAGUAACACUUUGAUAACCUACCUAUAAGACUGGGAUAACUUCGGGAAACCGGAGCUAAUACCGGAUAAUAUUUUUAACCGCAUGGUUCAAAAGUGAAAGACGGUCUUGCUGUCACUUAUAGAUGGAUCCGCGCUGCAUUAGCUAGUUGGUAAGGUAACGGCUUACCAAGGCAACGAUGCAUAGCCGACCUGAGAGGGUGAUCGGCCACACUGGAACUGAGACACGGUCCAGACUCCUACGGGAGGCAGCAGUAGGGAAUCUUCCGCAAUGGGCGAAAGCCUGACGGAGCAACGUCGCGUGAGUGAUGAAGGUCUUCGGAUAGUAAAACUCUGUUAUUAGGGAAGAACAUAUGUGUAAGUAACUGUGCACAUCUUGACGGUACCUAAUCAGAAAGCCACGGCUAACUACGUG
rnacentral:rRNA from 1 species